UUUUUUACCAAACUCACUCAAAAAUACAAAAAUACAAAAAUAUAUUAAUAACAAGUCAGUCAAAAGAUGAAAUACCCUACUCUACAAAAAUUUGAGAACUCAAUUCACUUAUUAUCGACCACAAAAUUGACCUCGAACUAUGACAGUACAGAUUCAUAUAGUCGACCUCAACUUGUUUGGUACUGAACCGUAGAUGUUGUUGUUGUGGUGGUGAACAGCUCCCAUGCAAAUCACUCUACUCAAUCUAGACACAGAAAAUCAAGAACAAAUAAUAUAGCCAUUUCCCAUUUUUCUCCUUAGUUUGAUGCAUUUCUUGAACAAUUUUUCUCUGUUACGACUAAACUUCUUCACCCUUCUUGUUAUUGAUAGAAGAAGUACUACUUGGAAGGAAACAAGUUUCCUCGCCACCCGUGUUCCACAAGAAAUUGGCAUAUGUACAUCUAUAAUAAGGGUUCCUAGGCUCAGCUGCCACUGCCUGUUGGUAUUUUUCUUCUGCUCCCCAUAAAUCGUUCUUAACCUUCCACAAGAAGAUCGCGUACUGACAUAGGGCCUCUGCAUCCGGUGGUUCCACUUGGACUGCCCGUUUGAAGCACUCCUCCGCCCUAUUAUUAUCUCGAACGAAGACUUUCAGAAAGUUUGCAUAAUUGCAUAGCAAAAGAGUGUUAUUAGGCUCAUGUGUGAGAUUCAUCUGAUAAACAAGAUCAGUCUUAUAAUAGUCAACACUAUUAUCUGGUUCAAUCUCCACUGACAAUGGCGAAACAAACUUCGACAUGACUUCAUUAUCAAAAUCAAUGCCCCUUGAACCACCCCUCAUAUUCAAAGCUUCAUCUUGUAUUGAAUCCCACAAUUCUUUCUCUUCAUCAGUCCACACUACUUUUGACACAUCUUGAGGAACAAUAUCAGGAUAAUGAACUUUUAGAUAUGGUUGAUCACAAUUCUCACCAGAAGCAGAGUAAACACUAAAGUUAGCCAAGAG
rnacentral:misc_RNA from 1 species